GAUGAACGCUGGCGGCGUGCCUAAUACAUGCAAGUCGAGCGAACAGAUGAGGAGCUUGCUCCUCUGACGUUAGCGGCGGACGGGUGAGUAACACGUGGAUAACCUACCUAUAAGACUGGGAUAACUUCGGGAAACCGGAGCUACUACCGGCUAAUAUAUUGAACCGCAUGGUUCAAUAGUGAAAGACGGUUUUGCUGUCACUUAUAGAUGGAUCCGCGUCGGAUUAGCUAGUUGGUAAGGUAACGGCUUACCAAGGCGACGAUGCGUAGCCGACCUGAGAGGGUGAUCGGCCACACUGGAACUGAGACACGGUCCAGACUCCUACGGGAGGCAGCAGUGGGGAAUCUUCCGCAAUGGGCGAAAGCCUGACGGAGCCACGCCGCGUGAGUGAUGAAGGUCUUCGGAUCGUAAAACUCUGUUAUUAGGGAAGAACAAAUGUGUAAGUAACUAUGCACGUCUUGACGGUACCUAAUCAGAAAGCCACGGCUAACUACGUG
rnacentral:rRNA from 1 species